rnacentral:rRNA from 1 species
UGUUGUGUUGGGGCGGCAAAGAUAAAAAUUAGUAACUGUCAUUUAAUUAGAAUAAUUAUAAUUAGUUUAGUUGAUCCUUUAUUAGAGAUUAAAAGAUUA